rnacentral:rRNA from 1 species
GACAGAGGGUGCAAACGUUGUUCGGAAUUACUGGGCGUAAAGCGAGUGUAGGCGGUUUGAUAAGUCGGAUGUGAAGGCCCUGGGCUCAACCCAGGAAGUGCACUCGAUACUGUCAAGCUAGAGUAUCGGAGAGGUUGGUGGAAUUCUCGGUGUAGAGGUGAAAUUCGUAGAUAUCAAGCAGAACACCUGUGGCGAAGGCGGUUCUCUGGGCCUUACCUGACGCUGAGGAGCGAAAGCGUGGGGAGCAAACAGG